rnacentral:lncRNA from 1 species
CAAAAUAAAGACACCAAAAUAAAGACAUCAAAAUAAAGACAUGGAAAUAAAAAUAUUAUUAAAGUAGUUUAUUAGUAUAUAUACCAUAAAUUUUUUUUUAUUAUAUAUAUAUAUAUAUAUAUAUAUAUAUAUAUAUUUAGUUAGUUAGAUUAAUUCAUAAUGAAAAGGAAAAACACAAAUACUUUAAUAUACUUCAUGACAAUGAUAAAAAAGACCCAGUAUCCUAUAUCCACGGUGAAAAAAGUGAUAAAAACAUAGAGCAAAUAGACAUUUUUACCACUGAUAAACUAAAUACAAAUACGACACAAUUAAUUGAUAUUCAACAAGAAGUAAUUUUAAUAUUAUUUUUAUUUCUUUCUUCUAUUUCUUAUAUGUGUGUAUUUCAUUCAAUU